GCUGGGCGGAGGAUGAAUCUCAUUAACAAAUUGGUAAUUUGUGUCUGAAGUAUUACAUUGAUGCUAAACACCUUGGAGAACUGAUGCCUUUA